AUUGAACGCUGGCGGCAGGCCUAACACAUGCAAGUCGAGCGGAUGAGUGGAGCUUGCUCCAUGAUUCAGCGGCGGACGGGUGAGUAAUGCCUAGGAAUCUGCCUGGUAGUGGGGGACAACGUUUCGAAAGGAACGCUAAUACCGCAUACGUCCUACGGGAGAAAGCAGGGGACCUUCGGGCCUUGCGCUAUCAGAUGAGCCUAGGUCGGAUUAGCUAGUAGGUGAGGUAAUGGCUCACCUAGGCGACGAUCCGUAACUGGUCUGAGAGGAUGAUCAGUCACACUGGAACUGAGACACGGUCCAGACUCCUACGGGAGGCAGCAGUGGGGAAUAUUGGACAAUGGGCGAAAGCCUGAUCCAGCCAUGCCGCGUGUGUGAAGAAGGUCUUCGGAUUGUAAAGCACUUUAAGUUGGGAGAAGGGCAGUAAGUUAAUACCUUGCUGUUUGACGUUACCAACAGAAUAAGCACCGGCUAACUUCGUGCCAG
rnacentral:rRNA from 1 species